GCCUUCCCCGCGCUCCCCGGCGCCCCCAGCCCGCUGACCCCCGGCCAGGCAGGCCCGCGGGGGAGGCAGGACCGGAGCCCUGAGGACCUGGCCGGCCUCGGGGUUGAGGCUCAGCUCGGGAUAAGUGAUCUUUGGGGCCCGCAGAGGACGUCUCCCCAAGACCCAGUGGCAACCGGGUGGCACGUACCUGCCUCUUCUUGGAGGAUGGACGAGUCGAACCGGGCACAAGCAUGGAGCUGCGGGUGAGUCCCGGCUGGCGCUGGCGCGGCGCAGUGAGCACCAGCUGACGAAGAGGGCUCCCCGGCCUCGGCUCCUGCCUGACUCUCUCCCACCUCCGCCGGGGGCCCAGAAGGGACCUCCCCGGGAAAUCGGCGCCACCCAGCGGGCAGCCGCCUCAUCGCGCCUGGGCCGGCAGAGCCACACCCCGCGUCUUGCGUCACUGAGUCGCGUCACGGCUAUUGGCUUGUUCCUAUUGUGGCGUCAUUAGAGCCCGGCCUCCGGCUGGGGCCACCCAGGCAACCGAUAUACACAGAGAACCACGUGGAGGAAAAGCACGCGAGUUUGGAGGGGGUGGAGCAGGAACAGAGGUGGACUGGAAUGUCACACGACGGGGCAGCUGGAAGGGCACCACUGAGUUCAGUACUUCAAAAUUGCCGUGCUCUACCUCUCCCCAGUGCACAGAAACACUCUCCACACCAAGCUGCUGCUGCUGGGGGAUGGAGGGAUGGCGUCAGCGAUUCAAGACUGUUUUUCCUACCUGUUCAGCACUUCUUUCAGCGAUAUGAAGUUAAAUCCAGGUCCCACCGACCCCAGCUCUUCCUUGUGCCGGGCAAAGAUGCCUCCUGUGGGUCUGCACAGGACAUGUUUCUCCUUGAGUGUGUUGGGGACAUUCCAGGCCUGAGAGUGUCCUGAGGCUGAGAGCCCCUGUUGAGCAGAAGAGAGCUGUUGGCCCUCUUGCCUGGCCAGGACUCUGAAGGACUCCAGCUCCAACAUUUUCUCACUAGUAAAUGAGAUGAUUUACUCUUGACUUGGGGUUUGUUUGUUUCACAUGUAAAGACACCUUCACAGCACGAAAGCUGCAGAUUCAGAGAGGGACAUCAGGUUGAGGAGGCGGGAGGGAUGUGUGUCACAGGUCCCCGGACGCUGUGUAGAUUUCUUGGUUGGCCAGUGAAAGUCCCCACAUCUCACGGAGAUCCCCAUGCCCUUCCCGAGGAAGCCUCUAGAUGUCAGAGAUGCAGACAUUGCGCGUCUCAGUGGAC
rnacentral:lncRNA from 1 species